rnacentral:rRNA from 1 species
CCCCUAGAUGUUCUGGGCCGCACGCGCGCUACACUGAACAGUUCAACAAGUCUUAACCUUGGCCGAUAGGUCUGGGUAAUCUUUGAACGCUGUUCGUGAUGGGGAUAGACCUUUGCAAUUUUUGGUCUUCAACGAGGAAUUCCUAGUAAACGCAAGUCAUCAACUUGCAUUGAUUACGUCCCUGCCCUUUGUACACACCGCCCGUCGCACCUACCGAUUGAAUGGUCCGGUGAAACCUCCGGAUUGGCGCGUGCCCUCGGGCGCCGCCGAGAAGUUGGUUAAACCUUACCAUUUAGAGGAAGGUGAAGUCGUAACA